AUGUCCGGAUCCAACCUUCAAGGCCGGUGGAUGGCUUCCUCUGUCAUAGAGGAGGACAUCAAGAAGCUUAGGGAGGCCAGGUAUCUCACCGCCGAAAUCCCGCACAGGCUGCCUGCUCAAGGGCAGGUCAUCCCCACUCCCAAACCCAACGAGAGUGUCAUAUUUGUUUCCCACUUCCUCCGAGGGCUAGGUUUUAGUCUUGAUCCCUUCGUGAGAGGGCUCAUGUUCUAUUAUGGGCUAGAUUUCCAUGAUCUAGCUCCAGAUUCCAUCCUUCACAUCUCGUCGUUUAUCAUCGUGUGUGAGGCCUUCCUCCGCAUCACCCCACACUUCGUCUUAUGGCUCAAGACCUUCAAUGUGAAGCCGAAGAUGAUCGAUGGGCGACACGCAGAGUGCAGAGGUGCUAGAAUAAGCAAAGGCGCCGAUGCCCCAUGGCUAAAGGGUUCCUUCCCAGAGGUGUCCGAUUUAUGGCAACAGGAGUUGUUUUACAUUACAACUCCUCGAGGUACAAAGCGGGCGCCCCCCCCCCCACCUUCCGCUCAUGCCCUCCACCACAACUGGCGUCAUGGGUCAACAAGGGGCUGGACUGGGGGCCAUUUAAUGAUGUGCUGA
rnacentral:rRNA from 1 species